GACGAACGCUGGCGGCGUGCUUAGCACAUGCAAGUCGAACGGAAAGGCCUCUUUCGGGGGGUACUCGAGUGGCGAACGGGUGAGUAACACGUGAGUAACCUGCCCUUGACUUUGGGAUAACUUCAGGAAACUGGGGCUAAUACCGGAUAGGAGCUCCUGCUGCAUGGUGGGGGUUGGAAAGUUUCGGCGGUUGGGGAUGGACUCGCGGCUUAUCAGCUUGUUGGUGGGGUAGUGGCUUACCAAGGCUUUGACGGGUAGCCGGCCUGAGAGGGUGGCCGGCCACAUUGAGACUGAGAUACGGCCCAGACUCCUACGGGAGGCAGCAGUGGGGAAUAUUGCACAAUGGGUGGAAGCCUGAUGCAGCAACGCCGUGUGCGGGAUGACGGCCUUCGGGUUGUAAACCGCUUUCGCUCAUGACGAAGCUUUGUGUGACGGUAGUGGGUAAAGAAGCACCGGCUAACUACGUG
rnacentral:rRNA from 1 species